ACCUAUAAGACUGGGAUAACUUCGGGAAACCGGAGCUAAUACCGGAUAACAUUUAGAACCGCAUGGUUCUAAAGUGAAAGAUGGUUUUGCUAUCACUUAUAGAUGGACCCGCGCCGUAUUAGCUAGUUGGUAAGGUAACGGCUUACCAAGGCGACGAUACGUAGCCGACCUGAGAGGGUGAUCGGCCACACUGGAACUGAGACACGGUCCAGACUCCUACGGGAGGCAGCAGUAGGGAAUCUUCCGCAAUGGGCGAAAGCCUGACGGAGCAACGCCGCGUGAGUGAUGAAGGGUUUCGGCUCGUAAAACUCUGUUAUUAGGGAAGAACAAAUGUGUAAGUAACUGUGCACAUCUUGACGGUACCUAAUCAGAAAGCCACGGCUAACUACGUGCCAGCAGCCGCGGUAAUACGUAGGUGGCAAGCGUUAUCCGGAAUUAUUGGGCGUAAAGCGCGCGUAGGCGGUUUCUUAAGUCUGAUGUGAAAGCCCACGGCUCAACCGUGGAGGGUCAUUGGAAACUGGGAAACUUGAGUGCAGAAGAGGAAAGUGGAAUUCCAUGUGUAGCGGUGAAAUGCGCAGAGAUAUGGAGGAACACCAGUGGCGAAUGCGACUGUCUGGUCUGUAACUGA
rnacentral:rRNA from 1 species